UUCUGAAUGUUGACCUCGGAUCAGGUAGGAAUACCCGCUGAACUUAA
rnacentral:rRNA from 4 species